CCCGAUACCUUUUAAGGGGAGGAGGCUCCGCCCCUUUCGAGAUGGGGGCGGCCAUGUUGGAAAUCCAAAGGGGGGCGGGGCUUCCCGAGGCCACGCCCAUCCAUUACCUUUUAAGGGGAAGAGGCUCCGCCCCUUUCGAGAUGGGGGCGGCCAUGUUGGAAAACCAAAGGGGGGCGGGGCUUCCCGAGGCCACGCCCACGCGAUAUCAAAGGAGGGGGCGGGGCUUCCCAAGGCCACGCCCACAUAUCAAAGGAUGGGGGCGGGGCUUCCGCAGGCCACACCCACAUGACAUCAAAUAUCAAAGGAGGGGGCGGGGCUUCUCGAGGCCACGCCCACCCCCGUUACCUUUUAAGGGGAGGAGGCUCCGCCCCUUUUGGGGGUUCCCCGUCGCUGUCGGAGGAGGCGGUGGCAUCGGAAUCUGGGGGGGUCACCAGAGGACACGAUAUGUCGCGAUAGGGCACGAUAUAUCGCGAUAUCUCACGAUAUAUUGCACUAUAUCUCAGGAUUUAUCGCCUUACGUCGCGAUAUCUCAUGAUAUGUCGCGAUAUCUCAUGAUAUGUCGCGAUAUCUCAUGAUAUGUCACGAUAUCUCAUAAUACGUUGCGAUAUCUCAUGAUAUGUCACGAUAUCUCAUGAUAUGUCGCGAUAUCUCUUACUUUGUUACGAUGCUAUGUCACGAUAGGUUACAAUAAUUCACGAUAGGUCUCGAUAUAUCGCGAUAUCUCAUGGUAUAUCGUGAUAUCUCAUGGUAUAUCGCGAUAUCUCAUGGUAUAUCGCGAUAUCUCACGAUAUAUCGUGAUAUCGCAUGAUGUAUUGCGAUAUCGCAUGAUGUAUCGCGAUAUGUCAAGAUACUACGUCGCAAUAGACCACGAUACGUCACAAUAGGUCUCGAUAUAUCGCGAUAUCUCAGGAUGUAUCACGAUACGCCACGAUGCUGGGUGAUGAGAGGUCACAGUAUUUCAUGAUAGGUCAUGAUCUAUCCCCAUCUAUCGCGAUAUCUCACGAUAUAUCGCGAUAUGCCACUAAAACGUGACACGAUAUGUCACGAUAUGACACUACAUCACAAUAGAUCGCGAUAAGUCACAACGAGUCUCAAUACAUCGUGAUAUGACACAGCACGUCACGAUAUGUCACGAUAUGCCAUGAUAUGUCACAACGCAUCACAAUAUAUCGCGAUAUACCACAAUGACUCACAGUAGAUCACGACAAUAUGACGUGAUAUGUCGCGAUAUGACACAAUAAAUCACAAUAUAUCG
rnacentral:lncRNA from 1 species